CUUGAAGAAAGUUUUAGAGACCUGAAGAAAGAAAGAUACUUCAAACUUCAUUCUUUGCAGUAUCCAGAGCAGUGUUUCUCAACAUUGGUUACAGGAUACCUUCCCAUCUCCUGUCAUCCGGUGUCAUCAUCAUCUUUACUUUGAGGGAUGCAUGAAGAGGAGAACAGUCUGGAGAGAGUGGUCUUUCAUGGUGUCCACUUGCACUGACAUGAAGAGAAAGGAGUCUGAUCAUUUGUGGCCUGUUUGACCAGUCAGCUUCGCUCUGCUCUGAGCCCAGGCCCAUAUUUCUCAUUUCACCACACCCAUAAGUGCUUUCUGACUUGGAAAUGGAGAUUAAAUUUAGGUGAUGGACAAAUUGAAGAAUUCCUGACACCUUGGAUGGUGAAGCAAGAGAGAUUUGUCCCAGGACAGUUGGUGUAAGAAGAGGGGAGAAUAAAAGAACGAAAUGAGUGAGAUUUGGCUGAGUGCUUCCCCACAAUGGAAGGAAAAUUUAAGAAAGUUGCUCCAGUUUGGACCCUCUGGAUGGCUUAUAACUUGGAGAAAGGUAAUGUGUCUAUGUAUGUUUGAGUGUGAGUAUGUGUGAGUGUGUGUGUUUGUGUGUAUGUAUGAGUGCAGGUAUUUUUCAUGAACUGGAACAUUUGGGCACCUUUGGGACA